CCUACGGGAGGCAGCAGUGAGGAAUAUUGGACAAUGGAGGCAACUCUGAUCCAGCCAUGCCGCGUGCAGGAAGACUGCCCUAUGGGUUGUAAACUGCUUUUAUAGAGGAAGAAACCUCCCUUCGUGAAGGGAAUUGACGGUACUCUACGAAUAAGGAUCGGCUAACUCCGUGCCAGCAGCCGCGGUAAUACGGAGGAUCCAAGCGUUAUCCGGAAUCAUUGGGUUUAAAGGGUCCGUAGGCGGACUAAUAAGUCAGUGGUGAAAGUCUGCAGCUCAACUGUAGAAUUGCCAUUGAUACUGUUAGUCUUGAGUCAUUAUGAAGUGGUUAGAAUGAGUGGUGUAGCGGUGAAAUGCAUAGAUAUCACUCAGAAUACCGAUUGCGAAGGCAGAUCACUAAUAAUGUACUGACGCUGAUGGACGAAAGCGUAGGUAGCGAACAGGAUUAGAUACCCUGGUAGUCUACGCCGUAAACGAUGGUUACUAGCUGUUUGGUCGAUUGAGACUGAGUGGCUAAGCGAAAGUGAUAAGUAACCCACCUGGGGAGUACGUUCGCAAGAAUGAAACUCAAAGGAAUUGACG
rnacentral:rRNA from 1 species